rnacentral:rRNA from 1 species
GACGAACGCUGGCGGCGUGCUUAACACAUGCAAGUCGAACGGAAAGGCCCUGCUCUUGUGGGGUGCUCGAGUGGCGAACGGGUGAGUAACACGCGAGUAACCUGCCCUUGACUUUGGGAUAACUCCAGGAAACUGGGGCUAAUAUCGGAUAGGAGCUCCUGCUGCAUGGUGGGGGUUGGAAAGUUUCGGCGGUUGGGGAUGGACUCGCGGCUUAUCAGCUUGUUGGUGGGGUAGUGGCUUACCAAGGCUUUGACGGGUAGCCGGCCUGAGAGGGUGACCGGCCACAUUGCGACUGAGAUACGGCCCAGACGCCUACGGGAGGCAGCAGUGGAGAAUAUUGCACAAUGGGCGGGAGCCUGAGGCAGCGGCGCCGCGUGCGGAAUGACGGGCUUCGGGUUGUAAACCGCUUUCGCCUGUGACGAAGCGUGAGUGACGGUAAUGGGUAAGGAAGCACCGGCUAACUACGUG